UGGGGAAUUUUGGACAAUGGGCGCAAGCCUGAUCCAGCCAUGCCGCGUGCGGGAAGAAGGCCUUCGGGUUGUAAACCGCUUUUGUCAGGGAAGAAAUCUUCUGAGUUAAUACCUCGGGAGGAUGACGGUACCUGAAGAAUAAGCACCGGCUAACUACGUGCCAGCAGCCGCGGUAAUACGUAGGGUGCAAGCGUUAAUCGGAAUUACUGGGCGUAAAGCGUGCGCAGGCGGUUUUGUAAGACAGAGGUGAAAUCCCCGGGCUCAACCUGGGAACUGCCUUUGUGACUGCAAGGCUUGAGUGCGGCAGAGGGGGGAUGGAAUUCCGCGUGUAGCAGUGAAAUGCGUAGAUAUGCGGAGGAACACCGAUGGCGAAGGCAAUCCCCUGGGCCUGCACUGACGCUCAUGCACGAAAGCGUGGGGAGCAAACAGGAUUAGAUACCCUGGUAGUCCACGCCCUAAAACGAUGUCAACUGGUUGUUGGGAAGGUUCCUUCUCAGUAAUGUAGCUAACGCGUGAAGUUGACCGCCUGGGGAGUACGGCCGCAAGGUUGAAACUCAAAUGAAUUGACGGGGU
rnacentral:rRNA from 1 species